GGUCGAUGAUGAGUUGGCAUGUAUUCUGAACCAAAGUUGAUCAUACUUUAGCUCUAGAAUUACUCUGAGACCUG
rnacentral:snoRNA from 1 species